CUCUCUCUCAAACCAGCCGCCAAUAAUAUUUUCCGAUCUGAGAUCGGUAGCCGGUGGCUCCUCCAGCACCGGUGUCGGUCUCCUCUUUGCUUUAUGUCUAGCCUUUCUCUGUUAGUAGUUUGUAAUGGUGAUGGUGUCUCUGUUGUAGUUUGUUUUGGCCCUUCGAUUGGAGUGUCGUGGGUUUGUUUCGGAUUGUGAAUUUGUGGUCUCUUCGGUUGCGGUUUUGAGGGCUAGAUCGACGGCGUGGUUCUUGUGAAGAUGAUGAUGCCGGAUCUGUUUGAUCCACAGGUUUGUUUCGUCUAAUAAUCUGUUAUCUUUGCUUUUCUCGACCUAGAUCUAGAGCUGCUCUGGUGCUUUUUAUCGUCUCUAUGCCGCCGUGUUGGUUUGGCUUCGUCCAGACUUUGUUUUUCCGGUGGCCAUGUUUCCUCCUGUUUCAACCAUCGGUCCUUAUCUUGCUUGUGUCCUGUCUUUUGGGCUUCUUUGUUUUGCCUGAAGUUGUUGCUAGGGUCUUCAAGUUCUCCUCUUCUUGGUGGUUUUGUUGUGUUUGUUAACUGGUUCGAUUUGAUGGCACUCUCUUUCUCGAGGCGGGUUUUUUCGAGUGGUUAGGCUUCUGUCCUUGUCUUUGCUUUGCAGAUCCGGUUGUGAUCUGAAGCUUAUUGAAGACUUUUAUCUAGACGUAACAUUGGCGCAUCUUUUAUCGUCGUCGUCGCAUCCGGAAGUGUGGUUUGAGGUUCUUCUAGUGUCUUUGCUUGCCG
rnacentral:sRNA from 1 species